AGAUAACAAAGCCAGCAACACCAUCACCAAGCUUCAACCAGUAUUAUGGAAGAUAACAAACAAAACUGAGAAGACAAAGAUUAGAUUACAUGAGUUAAAAUGAAAAUCGAAACGUUUGCCUUUGAUGAGUUUUAUAUUUAGUUGUGAGAGCAAACGAAGAGGGGGGAAGAAAAACGGGGAGAGAGAUAAACGGUGACGGCUAGGGUUUUUUAGUUAUACAGUGGUGUUUGUAUAUGAUGGGUAUUGGUAUUGGGCUUUAAAGGAAAUCAGACCAGAAACUGUAGUUAUAUAAUAAACUAGGAAAGCGGUCGGGUUCAGUUUUCGUUGGAUUGAAUUGGCCCAACCGAACCGAACCGUUAAAAGCCAUUGAAACCCGAUUGAUUCAGUUUAUCAACCCGACACCCGUUUUGAAACCGACCGCGUACAAACGGUUUGUAUGGAUCGGACGGCUUGGGGCGGUUUUCUCAAAAUCUGUCCACCCCU
rnacentral:lncRNA from 1 species